UUAAAUUAAGCUCCUUUGUUUAGGAAAAUCAUUGCUAGUUAUUAUUAUAGUGUUUCACAGGCUUGAAAUAUGAAUUAUGAAAAGCAUGUCGGACUAUUAUGGAUAAUUGCAACCCUGAUGUUGAUGCAAGCUAUAGACAUCGUGGCUUCCUCUCCCCCAUGGGAUCAAAUGGGAGGCGGAUUCAAGGAACAGUUGGAGAUGAAUGAAUAUUGGAGAAAAAUUAUUGAAGAAUGAAGCCGGGAAUAUAUUUCAAAGUCUAUAUUUUGGUUUAUGCAACCCGCACCAAUUGUAUAUUUUUGUACAGUAUUGCCUUAAAACUAUUGUUCUUCCUAACAGGUAGUCAUCGCGUAUAUCAGAAUAAACAUUGAAAUUUAUUAUAAUUUGAAACACACCCAAUAUGUAUUUACGCCUAAAUAAAAGCUGAAUUGAAAUAACUGUA